CCAGAGUGUCAUCGAACUGCGAUGUAAUGUAAACAGAAAUUAUAGCAAGUUGAUGUCAGUCAGCUUAGAUGGUCCAAGCCAAAAUUAUAUCGCAUUUGAAGUUUCAAACUGAGUUAAAAAUAGUGGAAGAAAAGCCGUAAUUAUACUUAUUGUUACAAUCCAUUUAAUAAAAUGCAACAUUUUUUUGUUUUAAUGAAAAAAUCAGUUCUUUUCAUGAGAACGAUUUGUUAUUCCAUCUCAAUUUUAUUAAUUUCCAGUCGCAAUAACGUAAAGUAUUAUUACCCGCGAACCAAUGAGUCAAAUUUAAGAAACAACCCACUGUUAGAAAGCUGAAUGGCUAC